rnacentral:rRNA from 1 species
UGGGGAAUAUUGCACAAUGGGGGAAACCCUGAUGCAGCGACGCCGCGUGAGGGAAGAAGGUUUUCGAAUCGUAAACCUCUUUCCUAUAAGAAAAUAAUGACGGUAUAAUAGGAGGAAGCCCCGGCUAAAUACGUGCCAGCAGCCGCGGUAUUACGUAUGGGGCGAGCGUUGUCCGGAAUUAUUGGGCGUAAAGGGUACGUAGGCGGUCUAUUAAGUCAGGUGUGAAAGAGUGAGGCUUAACCUCAUUAAGCACUUGAAACUGAUAGACUUGAGUGAAGGAGAGGAAAGUGGAAUUCCUAGUGUAGCGGUGAAAUGCGUAGAUAUUAGGAGGAAUACCGGUGGCGAAGGCGACUUUCUGGACUUUUACUGACGCUCAGGUACGAAAGCGUGGGGAGCAAACAGG